rnacentral:rRNA from 1 species
AACGAACGCUGGCGGCAGGCCUAACACAUGCAAGUCGAGCGGACCCUUCGGGGUUAGCGGCGGACGGGUGAGUAACGCGUGGGAAUAUGCCCUUCUCUACGGAAUAGUCCUGGGAAACUGGGGGUAAUACCGUAUACGCCCUUUGGGGGAAAGAUUUAUCGGGGAAGGAUUAGCCCGCGUUGGAUUAGGUAGUUGGUGGGUUAAUGGCCUACCAAGCCGACGAUCCAUAGCUGGUUUGAGAGGAUGAUCAGCCACACUGGGACUGAGACACGGCCCAGACUCCUACGGGAGGCAGCAGUGGGGAAUCUUAGACAAUGGGGGCAAACCUGAUCUAGCCAUGCCGCGUGAGUGAUGAAGGCCUUAGGGUUGUAAAGCUCUUUCAGCUGGGAAGAUAAUGACGGUACCAGCAGAAGAAGCCCCGGCUAACUCCGUG